CCGGUGGAGUUUUUGUUUUCUGCUAUAUUUGAACAUAAAGAGUAAAACUAAAGUCAGGUCUGUUCUGGAGUAUGUUACACUUGUGCAAAGCUCCUUCCCUCUGUUUAUUUUCUGUUCUGCAAAGCACAGUGUUAAGGUUUGAGAUA